CAGCAGGGUGAUCAGGUUGGGGGGCUGGUGUCGACCAUAUGGACCAACGACACCCACAACAUGUACAUCAGCUCCAUGGAGGCGUCCUUCAUGCAGCAGCUCUAUGGCCAGUAGCAGCACCACCACCACGCCACUCCCGGCAGGAGCAUGAUCCAUGUGGGUAGUGGCCAUGGAGCCUCUGAUAACCUCGGGUCUAAGAAGAACGUGCCUCGCCCGCGUGAUGUUGGUGCACGAGGCCUGCCCGAGGAUCUAUGGGCGAGGUAUUUCAAGCUGCGUGAUUCCGCUAUGAAUCGUUGUGGUGAUGGGAUUGGUGCUUCCGAUGGUGAAUCGGGCACCGAUACAGUUCAAGCGAUGGCUCCGAAGCAUGGAAUAGGAGUGAGCACUUGCGUCAGAGGAAAAUCCUAUUGA
rnacentral:rRNA from 1 species